UGCUCAGGUGGGUUUGUAAGUCAGAGGUGAAAUCCCAAAGCUUAACUUUGGAGCUGCCUUUGAUACUGCAAGUCUGGAGUUUGAGAGAGGGCAAUGGAAUAUCUGGUGUAGCAGUGAAAUGCGUAGAUAUCAGAUAGAACACCAAUGGCGAAGGCAGUUGCCUGGCUCAAAACUGACGCUAAAGCACGAAAAGUGUGGGGAAGCAAACA
rnacentral:rRNA from 1 species